AACGAACGCUGGCGGCAUGCCUAACACAUGCAAGUCGAACGAGACCUUCGGGUCUAGUGGCGCACGGGUGCGUAACGCGUGGGAAUCUGCCCUUGGGUUCGGAAUAACAGUUGGAAACGACUGCUAAUACCGGAUGAUGACGUAAGUCCAAAGAUUUAUCGCCCAGGGAUGAGCCCGCGUAGGAUUAGCUAGUUGGUGGGGUAAAGGCCUACCAAGGCGACGAUCCUUAGCUGGUCUGGGAGGAUGAUCAGCCACACUGGGACUGAGACACGGCCCAGACUCCGACGGGAGGCAGCAGGGGGGAAUAUUGGACAAUGGGCGAAAGCCUGAUCCAGCAAUGGCGCGUGAGUGAUGAAGGCCUUAGGGUUGUAAAGCUCUUUUACCCGGGAUGAUAAUGACAGUACCGGGAGAAUAAGCCCCGGCUAACUCCGUG
rnacentral:rRNA from 1 species